UGAAUCUCACUGAUUAUUUUUUGUUUUCCUUGGCAAAAUGAUUGCACAGGUUCUGGCCUAGGAAUAAUUUAACCACGUCCACAAGCUACGCGAUCGACGCCGUGUAUUCUGUCGAGAAUCUCCAUCCACUGGACGGAGCCAUUCGUUAACAUUUUCCAGGACGACAACUUUCGUCACGGGACUCCCCAUAAAAACUGCUACACCCGCACAACACUACACGCAGGGGUCAAUCUCAGACGGGGAUGGUGGCUCCAUGUGCUGCUGUUGGUUGGGCCCGGCUCGAGUGGCUGCUUUGGCAGAGGAAAAGAGAGCGAGAUCAUAUGAAUGAGGCCAAAGUUACGAGCAGCAACAGCACGUGAAACAGUCCAAGGCAUCCUUCGGAUUCACCAGAAGUGGUCACAUCCCAGAUUUUCAUUGCGACAAAGGAGGCGGGGCAGCCAGGGAUUUGCCAAAAAUCAAA